GUGAAUCAUCGAAUUUUUGAACGCAAAUUGCGCUUCCUGGUAUUCCGGGGAGUAUGCCUGUUUGAGGGUCAGUAUUAACAAAAAAUCGGUUUGGUUGCAAAUUUUGACGUUUCCGGUGGGUGUGCUUAUCUUAACUUUUUUGGUUAAAGGGCUUAAAAUUGACUUUUUUGGCGCAUUUUUAGACGUUGAUAAAUUUUUUUUUAUUCGUAUAUUCGUAAUGCGUAAAUCUUAUUAUAUGCUGUCACAUUGUGUGACUU
rnacentral:misc_RNA from 1 species